rnacentral:rRNA from 1 species
UGGGGAAUUUUGGACAAUGGGCGAAAGCCUGAUCCAGCAAUGCCGCGUGUGUGAAGAAGGCCUUCGGGUUGUAAAGCACUUUUGUCCGGAAAGAAAUCCUUGGCUCUAAUACAGUCGGGGGAUGACGGUACCGGAAGAAUAAGCACCGGCUAACUACGUGCCAGCAGCCGCGGUAAUACGUAGGGUGCAAGCGUUAAUCGGAAUUACUGGGCGUAAAGCGUGCGCAGGCGGUUUGCUAAGACCGAUGUGAAAUCCCCGGGCUCAACCUGGGAACUGCAUUGGUGACUGGCAGGCUAGAGUAUGGCAGAGGGGGGUAGAAUUCCACGUGUAGCAGUGAAAUGCGUAGAGAUGUGGAGGAAUACCGAUGGCGAAGGCAGCCCCCUGGGCCAAUACUGACGCUCAUGCACGAAAGCGUGGGGAGCAAACAGGAUUAGAUACCCUGGUAGUCCACGCCCUAAACGAUGUCAACUAGUUGUUGGGGAUUCAUUUCCUUAGUAACGUAGCUAACGCGUGAAGUUGACCGCCUGGGGAGUACGGUUGCAAGAUUAAAACUCAAAUGAAUUGACGGGGUCAUAGCUGUUUCCU